UCCGAAUUGGUGUAGUGGCUAACAUUUGGUGCUCUCAUCGUUACAAUCACAGUGAUCCGCCAAGCCCGGGGUUCGAUUCCCCGAUUCGGAG